GUCCCAAUUCGAGGGCUGCAGCCUCCGAAGGCUGGUUUUAAGGCCGCAUACGUCACUUCCGGUGAAAGAAGGCCUGUCCCAUUUCAUUUUUAUGUCAUGCAGCCUUCAAAUGCAGCCCUAAAACCGGCCUCGUUUCCAUGGAAAUGGGGCCGCGAACGGAGGACACAUCCGAGUAUCCUUCGCAGCCUUCAGUAUCCCAGCAUGCACCGCGCGGCGCCAGUCACAUGUUCGAAAACACGGAGCAAAAAGCCGGUCCCGAGAGCGGAGAAAAACAUCCUCCUGUAUGAGGACACGACACACUGCAGGGGCCACAGAACUGUUGGCUGACAAGAUGCUUGUGAUUCAUAAAAUGGGUCAAAUGCAGAUGACAAAGUAAAGCCAACACUGAGCUGGAGGUGCUGACCCAGACUCCUGCCAACGAUUAGGUUUCACUCUGCAGGACAGAACUUUGAAUCAAUCAGACGCAACAACCAUUCUGCUCUUCCUCCUCCAGAAGACGAGAGACACAUC